rnacentral:rRNA from 1 species
AGGAAACAGCUUGCUGUUUCGCUGACGAGUGGCGGACGGGUGAGUAAUGUCUGGGAAACUGCCUGAUGGAGGGGGAUAACUACUGGAAACGGUAGCUAAUACCGCAUAACGUCGCAAGACCAAAGAGGGGGACCUUCGGGCCUCUUGCCAUCGGAUGUGCCCAGAUGGGAUUAGCUAGUAGGUGGGGUAACGGCUCACCUAGGCGACGAUCCCUAGCUGGUCUGAGAGGAUGACCAGCCACACUGGAACUGAGACACGGUCCAGACUCCUACGGGAGGCAGCAGUGGGGAAUAUUGCACAAUGGGCGCAAGCCUGAUGCAGCCAUGCCGCGUGUAUGAAGAAGGCCUUCGGGUUGUAAAGUACUUUCAGCGGGGAGGAAGGGAGUAAAGUUAAUACCUUUGCUCAUUGACGUUACCCGCAGAAGAAGCACCGGCUAACUCCGUGCCAGCAGCCGCGGUAAUACGGAGGGUGCAAGCGUUAAUCGGAAUUACUGGGCGUAAAGCGCACGCAGGCGGUUUGUUAAGUCAGAUGUGAAAUCCCCGGGCUCAACCUGGGAACUGCAUCUGAUACUGGCAAGCUUGAGUCUCGUAGAGGGGGGUAGAAUUCCAGGUGUAGCGGUGAAAU